UACGGAAGGCAGCAGUGGGGAAUAUUGCACAAUGGGCGCAAGCCUGAUGCAGCCAUGCCGCGUGUAUGAAAAAGGCCUUCGGGUUGUAAAGUACUUUCAGUCGUGAGGAAGGUGUUAAGGUUAAUAACCUUAGCAAUUGACGUUAGCGACAGAAGAAGCACCGGCUAACUCCGUGCCAGCAGCCGCGGUAAUACGGAGGGUGCGAGCGUUAAUCGGAAUUACUGGGCGUAAAGGGCACGCAGGCGGUUAAUUAAGUUGGAUGUGAAAUCCCCGGGCUUAACCUGGGAAUGGCAUUCAAGACUGGUUAGCUAGAGUCUUGUAGAGGGGGGUAGAAUUCCAUGUGUAGCGGUGAAUGCGUAGAGAUGUGGAGGAAUACCGGUGGCGAAGGCGGCCCCUGGACAAAGACUGACGCUCAUGUGCGAAAGCGUGGGGAGCGAAACAGGGAUUAGAUACC
rnacentral:rRNA from 1 species